CGACUGGCCAUUGCCCGUGAGGCUGCGAUCUCCCGCGGAGAGAUUCGCCAGUGGGAGAUGGAGCUGGAGAAACGAACGCUGGCCGCCAUGGGAAGGCUCCAGGAGUAUGACAACGCCGCGAAGAGGAUGGGAAGAGCCGAGAAAUCGCAGGCCAUUCGCAACAGGCUCCGGGAGAAAGUGCUGGCCCGCUCGAACGAGUGCUAGUUCGUACCAGUACGGCUCUAUUUUAGGGUUCUUCGUGUACGGUAUGGCCCUCUGUUUUUAGGGCUCUUCGUCUAGGUAUUUUGAGAGCUUCUCAGUGGACAUAGCUCCGAGUGCUCCUACGUGCUUGUGAUCCUCAACUAUCGCCUGCCAUCGCUGGCGGCAUUGCUGUGGCAGAGAGCUAGGUUGCGAAUGUGCGCCGAUGGGGGAGCUAAUCGGCUCUACAACGAGCUGCCGUUGCUUCUGGGACAGGAGGAAUCGAUCGUGAGACAGAGGUUCAUACCCGAUGCGAUCAUUGGGGCUUUGGACUAAGUGAGGCAGUUCUACGAAUCAAGAGUUUGAUUUCUGGCAAGUUUGUUUCUUCUUUUUCUUUUCAGGGUACUGUUGUUCUAGACAAAUCUCACGACCAAGACACGGUAGAUCUUCACAAGUGCAUAUAUUUCGUCGCCGAGAAAUCCAGCAAGUAUCAAUUUGAAUAUCUUGGUGGUGGGAGCGUUGGGUGGAAAACUUGAUCAUGAGAUGGGAAACAUCAACGUACACUUUUCUUUCAGGAGCUUCCGGAUCAUGGUCUAUUUUCUUCCUAGAGACGUUCUUCACACCAUCCCGGGAUCAUUCCUCUCGGCAGACCCUGCACGGCAACAUACACAUGACUCAUUCGUAAAAUACUUCCACCAUUCCUCUCGAUAAAAUCACUGUUUCCUCGUUUACUUUCACUUUCACUUUCUUCUUUUGUUCUCAUAGUGAUCUCUUCGCCUGUAACUCUGGAGACCAUCUUCUUCUCCGAAUGCAAGUUCAGGAUCUCGAAGCCCAAAGUGGUUUCACAUAAUUUGAUCAACCAUAAUGAAGAUGAAAUUUAAACCACUCAA